GACAGAGUCCGUAUCGGAUAAAGAGGACAAACCACCCCUGGCAUCAGCAGGAGGCACUGAGGGGCCAGAGCAGCCCCCACCACCUUGCCCAAGCCAAACUGGCAGCCCCCCAGUGGGCCUCAUCAAGGGAGAAGACAAAGAUGAGGGCCCUGUUGCUGAACAAGUAAAGAAAUCAACGUUGAACCCUAAUGCUAAGGAGUUCAAUCCUACAAAGCCUCUGCUGUCUGUGAAUAAAUCCACCAGUACCCCAACUUCUCCGGGGCCCCGGACUCAUUCAACUCCCUCCAUCCCGGUGCUGACAGCAGGCCAGAGUGGGCUAUACAGCCCCCAGUACAUCUCAUACAUACCUCAGAUCCACAUGGGACCAGCUGUGCAGGCACCUCAAAUGUAUCCAUAUCCUGUAUCCAAUUCAGUGCCUGGGCAGCAGGGCAAGUACCGGGGAGCAAAAGCGCUCGGACCAACACCAGCCAGCCUCAGCCCCGCCAAUGAUGCAGGCCGCCGCGGCUGCUGGCCCGCCUCUGGUGGCUGCCACGCCCUAUUCUUCCUACAUCCCCUACAACCCUCAGCAGUUCCCAGGCCAGCCGGCCAUGAUGCAGCCCAUGGCCCACUACCCCUCACAGCCGGUGUUUGCCCCCAUGCUUCAGAGCAACCCACGCAUGCUGACAUCGGGCAGCCAUCCCCAGGCCAUUGUGUCAUCCUCUACCCCUCAGUACCCUUCUGCAGAGCAGCCCACCCCCCAGGCCCUUUAUG
rnacentral:sRNA from 1 species